UGAAGGAAAGGGCCCCUUAGUACGAGAGGAACGGGGGCUCGCAGCCACUAGUUUACCAGUUGUCCGACAGGGCAUUGCUGGGCAGCCACGCUGCAAGGGAUAAGAGCUGAAAGCAUCUAAGCUCGAAACCCGCCCUAAGACGAGGCACGUUGACGCCCGUAGAAGACGGGACGAUAGGACCGGGGUGUACGCACCGAGA
rnacentral:rRNA from 1 species